rnacentral:rRNA from 1 species
UGUUUGGGGAUCUCGGCAGGCCUUAUACGUGCAAAACGAACGGGGUUUAGUAGCAAUAUUAAAUCUAGUGGCGCACGGGUGCGUAACGCGUAUGCAACUUACCUUCAACUGGAGAAUAGCCCCUCGAAAGAGGGAUUAAUACUCCAUAGUAAUUAGAAAGGGCAUCCUUUUUAGUUUAAAGCUACGGCGGUUGAAGAUGGGCAUGCGUGACAUUAGUUAGUUGGUGAGGUAAUGGCUCACCAAGACUUCGAUGUCUAGGGGUUCUGAGAGGAUGAUCCCCCACACUGGUACUGAGACACGGACCAGACUCCUACGGGAGGCAGCAGUAAGGAAUAUUGGUCAAUGGACGAAAGUCUGAACCAGCCAUGCCGCGUGCAGGAUGACUGCCCUACGGGUUGUAAACUGCUUUUAUA